CAAACCUAGAUUUUUAACCAUCCAAUGUUCCCUUCCUCUCUCAUCUGACGGUGCCGCCACUGGGCUGGCCGAGAGGCCAUGGAAGGUAGCGGGUGCUAGGCUGGUUCUAUUUGGGGGGGGGGGGGCAAAUCUUUUGGUACGUCUGAAACCCAAGUUGGUGAAGUGGUUUUCAACACUUCUUUAACUGGGUAUCAGGAGAUUCUAACCGACCCUAGUUAUGCUGGUCAGUUUGUCUUGAUGACCAAUCCACACGUCGGCAAUACCGGAGUAAAUUUUGAUGAUGAAGAAUCGAGGCAGUGCUUCCUUGCUGCUUUGGUGAUCAGAAGUCUAAGCAUUACUACUUCCAACUGGAGAUGUGUGGAAACCCUCGGUGAUUAUUUAGCAAA